UUGCAACCUAGGAUCUAAAACAACUUACCGGUCCGGCAUCGACUAACGGUCAACGGCAAUAAAGUAAAUCAUUUAUAUUUAUAAACCAACUAAAGAAUUAAGGAUUGAGUGGUGUGUAUGUCUGAUACAAGAUAGCGUGGCAAUUAUGCAGCCGGAUGUACACCAACAACCGAUGAUGCGUCGAGGGCAGCCGUUUAACCUUGGCAUCCGGAGAGUAAACUAUUUUUAGGACGUUCGAGAUGUUUACAGUUCAGUGCAAUUCAUCCUCCUGUUUGCACAAUCGCAUAUCAACAAUCAUUGGAAUGACUAAAGAUUUUUCGCCGGAAAUCAGGAUUCGAGCUGGAUAACAAGGAUAACAAUGACACUUAUGCAGAUGCGGAUAAGACGCUUAUAGCUGAUAGCAGCAAAAUAAAGAUUCAGAGUGGACUGCAGGUUGUUAGAGUGGAAGCGAUGUGCCAGUAAGCAAGUCGAAUGUAUUCAGUAUUGCUGAGAGUAGAGAACAACAUCUUGCACCUGUCUGGCGAACGAAUGAGCGACCAGGAGGCCGGUCAAACUCGGUCGAGCAAUGAAAGUAACGAGGUGGGAUCUACGUGCACGAUCCAAUGUUUCUGAACAAAAGCAACAUGUCUUUAUCAUUCGUUUGGCAAUAUAAAUUGAAAUGAAAACAAAGAUAAGAUGGCGACUUGAUUUGGA